UUGGGGUGUGACUGCGUACCUUUUGUAUAAUGGGUCAGCGACUUAUAUUCUGUAGCAAGGUUAACCGUAUAGGGGAGCCGUAGGGAAACCGAGUCUUAACCGGGCGUUAAGUUGCAGGGUAUAGACCCGAAACCCGGUGAUCUAGCCAUGGGCAGGUUGAAGGUUGGGUAACACUAACUGGAGGACCGAACCGACUAAUGUUGAAAAAUUAGCGGAUGACCUGUGGCUGGGGGUGAAAGGCCAAUCAAACCGGGAGAUAGCUGGUUCUCCCCGAAAGCUAUUUAGGUAGCGCCUCGUGAAUUCAUCUCCGGGGGUAGAGCACUGUUUCGGCUAGGGGGCCAUCCCGGCUUACCAACCCGAUGCAAACUGCGAAUACCGGAGAAUGUUAUCACGGGAGACACACGGCGGGUGCUAACGUCCGUCGUGAAGAGGGAAACAACCCAGACCGCCAGCUAAGGUCCCAAAGUCAUGGUUAAGUGGGAAACGAUGUGGGAAGGCCCAGACAGCCAGGAUGUUGGCUUAGAAGCAGCCAUCAUUUAAAGAAAGCGUAAUAGCUCACUGGUCGAGUCGGCCUGCGCGGAAGAUGUAACGGGGCUAAACCAUGCACCGAAGCUGCGGCAGCGACACUAUGUGUUGUUGGGUAGGGGAGCGUUCUGUAAGCCUGUGAAGGUGUGUCGUGAGGCAUGCUGGAGGUAUCAGAAGUGCGAAUGCUGACAUAAGU
rnacentral:rRNA from 1 species